rnacentral:rRNA from 1 species
AUUGAACGCUGGCGGCAGGCCUAACACAUGCAAGUCGAACGGUAACAGGAAGCAGCUUGCUGCUUCGCUGACGAGUGGCGGACGGGUGAGUAAUGUCUGGGAAACUGCCUGAUGGAGGGGGAUAACUACUGGAAACGGUAGCUAAUACCGCAUAACGUCGCAAGACCAAAGAGGGGGACCUUAGGGCCUCUUGCCAUCGGAUGUGCCCAGAUGGGAUUAGCUAGUAGGUGGGGUAACGGCUCACCUAGGCGACGAUCCCUAGCUGGUCUGAGAGGAUGGCCAGCCACACUGGAACUGAGACACGGUCCAGACUCCUACGGGAGGCAGCAGUGGGGAAUAUUGCACAAUGGGCGCAAGCCUGAUGCAGCCAUGCCGCGUGUAUGAAGAAGGCCUUCGGGUUGUAAAGUACUUUCAGCGGGGAGGAAGGGAGUAAAGUUAAUACCUUUGCUCAUUGACGUUACCCGCAGAAGAAGCACCGGCUAACUCCGUG